rnacentral:rRNA from 1 species
UACAGAGGGUGCGAGCGUUAAUCGGAAUUACUGGGCGUAAAGCGCGCGUAGGCGGCUUUGCAAGUCGGGUGUGAAAUCCCCAGGCUUAACCUGGGAACUGCAUUCGAGACUGCAUUGCUAGAGUAUGGGAGAGGGAAGUGGAAUUUCCGGUGUAGCGGUGAAAUGCGUAGAUAUCGGAAGGAACAUCAGUGGCGAAGGCGGCUUCCUGGACCUGUUCUGACACUGAGGAGCGAAAGCGUGGGGAGCGAUCCGG